GAGUCUCCUGAAGGAACGUUGAAGACGACGACGUUGAUAGGCCGGGUGUGUAAGCGCAGCGAUGCGUUGAGCUAACCGGUACUAAUGAACCGUGAGGCUUAACCUU
rnacentral:rRNA from 47 species